UUAAGCGACUAAGCGUACACGGUGGAUGCCCUGGCAGUCAGAGGCGAUGAAGGACGUGCUAAUCUGCGAUAAGCGUCGGUAAGGUGAUAUGAACCGUUAUAACCGGCGAUUUCCGAAUGGGGAAACCCAGUGUGUUUCGACACACUAUCAUUAACUGAAUCCAUAGGUUAAUGAGGCGAACCGGGGGAACUGAAACAUCUAAGUACCCCGAGGAAAAGAAAUCAACCGAGAUUCCCCCAGUAGCGGCGAGCGAACGGGGAGCAGCCCAGAGCCUGAAUCAGUGUGUGUGUUAGUGGAAGCGUCUGGAAAGGCGCGCGAUACAGGGUGACAGCCCCGUACACAAAAAUGCACAUGCUGUGAGCUCGAUGAGUAGGGCGGGACACGUGGUAUCCUGUCUGAAUAUGGGGGGACCAUCCUCCAAGGCUAAAUACUCCUGACUGACCGAUAGUGAACCAGUACCGUGAGGGAAAGGCGAAAAGAACCCCGGCGAGGGGAGUGAAAAAGAACCUGAAACCGUGUACGUACAAGCAGUGGGAGCACGCUUAGGCGUGUGACUGCGUACCUUUUGUAUAAUGGGUCAGCGACUUAUAUUCUGUAGCAAGGUUAACCGAAUAGGGGAGCCGAAGGGAAACCGAGUCUUAACUGGGCGUUAAGUUGCAGGGUAUAGACCCGAAACCCGGUGAUCUAGCCAUGGGCAGGUUGAAGGUUGGGUAACACUAACUGGAGGACCGAACCGACUAAUGUUGAAAAAUUAGCGGAUGACUUGUGGCUGGGGGUGAAAGGCCAAUCAAACCGGGAGAUAGCUGGUUCUCCCCGAAAGCUAUUUAGGUAGCGCCUCGUGAAUUCAUCUCCGGGGGUAGAGCACUGUUUCGGCAAGGGGGUCAUCCCGACUUACCAACCCGAUGCAAACUGCGAAUACCGGAGAAUGUUAUCACGGGAGACACACGGCGGGUGCUAACGUCCGUCGUGAAGAGGGAAACAACCCAGACCGCCAGCUAAGGUCCCAAAGUCAUGGUUAAGUGGGAAACGAUGUGGGAAGGCCCAGACAGCCAGGAUGUUGGCUUAGAAGCAGCCAUCAUUUAAAGAAAGCGUAAUAGCUCACUGGUCGAGUCGGCCUGCGCGGAAGAUGUAACGGGGCUAAACCAUGCACCGAAGCUGCGGCAGCGACGCUUAUGCGUUGUUGGGUAGGGGAGCGUUCUGUAAGCCUGCGAAGGUGUGCUGUGAGGCAUGCUGGAGGUAUCAGAAGUGCGAAUGCUGACAUAAGUAACGAUAAAGCGGGUGAAAAGCCCGCUCGCCGGAAGACCAAGGGUUCCUGUCCAACGUUAAUCGGGGCAGGGUGAGUCGACCCCUAAGGCGAGGCCGAAAGGCGUAGUCGAUGGGAAACAGGUUAAUAUUCCUGUACUUGGUGUUACUGCGAAGGGGGGACGGAGAAGGCUAUGUUGGCCGGGCGACGGUUGUCCCGGUUUAAGCGUGUAGGCUGGUUUUCCAGGCAAAUCCGGAAAAUCAAGGCUGAGGCGUGAUGACGAGGCACUACGGUGCUGAAGCAACAAAUGCCCUGCUUCCAGGAAAAGCCUCUAAGCAUCAGGUAACAUCAAAUCGUACCCCAAACCGACACAGGUGGUCAGGUAGAGAAUACCAAGGCGCUUGAGAGAACUCGGGUGAAGGAACUAGGCAAAAUGGUGCCGUAACUUCGGGAGAAGGCACGCUGAUAUGUAGGUGAAGUCCCUCGCGGAUGGAGCUGAAAUCAGUCGAAGAUACCAGCUGGCUGCAACUGUUUAUUAAAAACACAGCACUGUGCAAACACGAAAGUGGACGUAUACGGUGUGACGCCUGCCCGGUGCCGGAAGGUUAAUUGAUGGGGUCAGCGCAAGCGAAGCUCUUGAUCGAAGCCCCGGUAAACGGCGGCCGUAACUAUAACGGUCCUAAGGUAGCGAAAUUCCUUGUCGGGUAAGUUCCGACCUGCACGAAUGGCGUAAUGAUGGCCAGGCUGUCUCCACCCGAGACUCAGUGAAAUUGAACUCGCUGUGAAGAUGCAGUGUACCCGCGGCAAGACGGAAAGACCCCGUGAACCUUUACUAUAGCUUGACACUGAACAUUGAGCCUUGAUGUGUAGGAUAGGUGGGAGGCUUGGAAGUGUGGACGCCAGUCUGCAUGGAGCCGACCUUGAAAUACCACCCUUUAAUGUUUGAUGUUCUAACGUUGACCCGUAAUCCGGGUUGCGGACAGUGUCUGGUGGGUAGUUUGACUGGGGCGGUCUCCUCCUAAAGAGUAACGGAGGAGCACGAAGGUUGGCUAAUCCUGGUCGGACAUCAGGAGGUUAGUGCAAUGGCAUAAGCCAGCUUGACUGCGAGCGUGACGGCGCGAGCAGGUGCGAAAGCAGGUCAUAGUGAUCCGGUGGUUCUGAAUGGAAGGGCCAUCGCUCAACGGAUAAAAGGUACUCCGGGGAUAACAGGCUGAUACCGCCCAAGAGUUCAUAUCGACGGCGGUGUUUGGCACCUCGAUGUCGGCUCAUCACAUCCUGGGGCUGAAGUAGGUCCCAAGGGUAUGGCUGUUCGCCAUUUAAAGUGGUACGCGAGCUGGGUUUAGAACGUCGUGAGACAGUUCGGUCCCUAUCUGCCGUGGGCGCUGGAGAACUGAGGGGGGCUGCUCCUAGUACGAGAGGACCGGAGUGGACGCAUCACUGGUGUUCGGGUUGUCAUGCCAAUGGCACUGCCCGGUAGCUAAAUGCGGAAGAGAUAAGUGCUGAAAGCAUCUAAGCACGAAACUUGCCCCGAGAUGAGUUCUCCCUGACUCCUUGAGAGUCCUGAAGGAACGUUGAAGACGACGACGUUGAUAGGCCGGGUGUGUAAGCGCAGCGAUGCGUUGAGCUAACCGGUACUAAUGAACCGUGAGGCUUAACCU
rnacentral:rRNA from 1 species